UUUAGAUCACAGACAAAUAUGAAAAGAGGAAAAAGAACUUCAAAUGAAGUUGCGGAUACCUCGUCCAAAUGGAACUAUCCUGAUAAAGAAUCUGAAGUUGUAGGUGCAGGAAUUGAAAGAUUCUACCGAAGAUCAUCUAAUUUCUUAAUCAAAAAAUGCAUAGUAAGUGUCCUUUGCAUCAUUGUACUAAUUCUGUCCGUAAUGCUGGUAAUGCAAGGAGACGCUGUUGAAUCUGAUCUAUUCCAUCCGAACGGUUCAGAGAUUAACGUAACCUAAAUCUGUCUGUUCCAUUUACCACCGAUACUGAAGCUGUUCAUGUUAUAUGGAGGGAAUAUUUAAGUUUUGAAAGCUUAUGCAUUGUUCUAGGUGUACUAGGUACAUUUAUACUAAUUAUACUGCAAUGCAUAACAGUAACAGAGGUAUUGCGUGUGCAAAACAAAUUAAUGAAUCAAAAUGUUGAACAACAACAACAACCUCGAACUGUGGAACCAGAGCCAGAGCCAGAACUUAGAUAUCGACAAAAAUUAGAAAAUUCACUGUGCAUUGUAAGUUUUUCCAAGGAUAAUCAUGCCACAUGUAACUGAUGAAAUCUUUAAUGGAUCGCCUGAUGGAUGUAAACCUACAAACCAAGCGUGUUGUUAUAACAAAACCAGACAAACUCAACAUCAUUCCUCCUUCUAAGGUA